rnacentral:rRNA from 1 species
GAUGAACGCUAGCGGCAGGCCUAACACAUGCAAGUCGAGGGGCAGCGAUUAUCUAGUUUACUAGAUAAGUCGGCGACCGGCGCACGGGUGCGUAACGCGUAUGCAACCUACCCAUAACAGGGGGAUAAUCUGGAGAAAUCUGGUCUAACACCCCAUAAUACUUAAAGCGGCAUCGUUUAAAGUUGAAAUAUUUAUAGGUUAUGGAUGGGCAUGCGUGACAUUAGUUAGAUGGUGAGGUAACGGCUCACCAUGACUAUGAUGUCUAGGGGAACUGAGAGGUUAAUCCCCCACACUGGUACUGAGACACGGACCAGACUCCUACGGGAGGCAGCAGUGAGGAAUAUUGGUCAAUGGACGAAAGUCUGAACCAGCCAUGCCGCGUGCAGGAUGACGGCUCUAUGAGUUGUAAACUGCUUUUGUAAAGGGGUAAAAAUUGAUACGUGUAUCAACUUGCAAGUACUUUACGAAUAAGGAUCGGCUAACUCCGUGCCAGCAGCCGCGGUAAUAC